AACGAACGCUGGCGGCAUGCCUAACACAUGCAAGUCGAACGAGACCUUCGGGUAUCGUGGCGCACGGGUGCGUAACGCGUGGGAAGCUGCCCUUAGGUUCGGAAUAACUCGCCGAAAGGGGUGCUAAUACCGGAUAAUGUCUUCGGACCAAAGAUGUAUCUCCUGUGUAUGGGCCCGCGUUGGAUUAGCUGGUUGGUAGGGUAAAACCCUACCAAGGCUACGAUACAUAGCUGGUCUGAGAGGAUGAUCAGCCACACUGGGGCUGAGACACGGCCGGGACUCCUGCAGGAGGCAGGAGAGGGGAAUAUUGGACAAUGGGCUGAAGCCUGAUGCAGCAAUGCCGGUUGAGUGAUUAAGGCGGUAGGGAUGUAAAGCUCUUUAACCCGGGAUGAUAAUGACGGUACCGGGAGAAUAAGCACCGGCUAACUCCGUG
rnacentral:rRNA from 1 species